GUCCACGCCGUAAACGAUGGAAGCUAGCCGUCAGGUUGCAUGCAAUUUGGUGGCGCAGUUAACGCAUUAAGCUUCCCGCCUGGGGAGUACGGUCGCAAGAUUAAAACUCAAAGGAAUUGACGGGGGCCCCGCACAAGCGGUGGAGCAUGUGGUUUAAUUCGAAGCAACGCGCAGAACCUUACCAGCCCUUGACAUUUGGUGCUACAUCCAGAGAUGGAUGGUUCUCUUCGGAGACGCCAGGACAGGUGCUGCAUGGCUGUCGU
rnacentral:rRNA from 1 species